AUGUUCCCGUCUCCAGCUCUGAAGCAGAUGUUCCCGUCUCCAGCUCUGAAGCAGAUGUUCCCGUCUCCAGCUCUGCAGCAGACGUUCCCGUCUCCAGCUCUGAAGCAGACGUUCCCGUCUCCAGCUCUGAAGCAGACGCUCCCGUCUCCAGCUCUAAAGCAGACGUUCCCGUCUCCAGCUCUAAAGCUGACGUUCCCAUCUCCAGCUCUGAAGCAGAUGCUCCCGUCUCCAGCUCUAAAGCUGACGUUCCCAUCUCCAGCUCUGAAGCAGACGUUUCCAGCUCUGAAGUGGACGUUUCCACCUCUGAAGUGGAAGUCUCCCAGUUUCCUGUCUCAAGUCUCCCAGUUGCAAGUGUUCCUGUCUCAAGUCUCCCAGUUACAAGUGUUCCUGUCUCCCCGUCUCCUGUCUCAAGUCUCAAGUGUUCCAGUCUCCCCAACUCCUGUCUCAAGUCUCCCCACAGGUGUUCCAGUCUCCCAAGUCUCAAGUGUUCCAGUCACAAGUCUUCCAGUCUCCCAAGUCUUAAGUCUCCCCACAAGUGUUCCAGUCUCCCAAGUCUCAAGUGUUCCAGUCACAAGUCUUCCAGUCUCCCAAGUCUCAAGUCUCCCCACAAGUGUUCCAGUCUCCCAAGUCUCAAGUUUUCCAGUCUCCCAAGUCUCAAGUGUUCCAGUCUCCCAAGUCUCAAGUGUUCCAGUCACAGUCCCCGUCUCCAGAGACCCUCGUCCUCCUCCUCCAAGACCCCCUAUCCCCAGGCUUUCCUGGCCCCGCCUCCCGUUUCCCCGUCUCCGGCCUCCUGGGCUUCCUUGGUCCCGCCUCCUGGUUCCCUGUCGCCGACCCCCCAGGCUUCCCUGGUCCCGCCUCCUGGUUCCCCGUCGCUGGCCUCCUAGGCUUCCUUGGUCCCGCCUCCUGGUUCCCCGUCGCCGGCCUCCUAGGCUUAUCUGGUCACCGGUCCCCUGGACUUCUCUGGUCCCGCCUCCUGGUUCCCUGUCGCUGGCCUCCCGGGGUCUACUGUUCCCCUCUCGCCCGCCCUUUUUGGGUUGUGUUUGUUGGUUCCCUCCGCUCCCUCCCUCUGGGUUUUUCAUGUCCUGUGUCUUGUCUUGUGCUUGUUGUUGUUUGUUCUUGUUUGGGUGUCUGGUAUCCGCCCCUUGGGGGGGGGGGGGGACUGUCAUGGUCUGCGUCUGCCCCUUCCUUCAUGUGCCUUCUGGUGUUUCUCCAUCCUCUCUAGGUGCUCCUUUUGUAUCUUCUAGCGCCCUCAUGUGUCAUGUCUGCGUCUUCCUCAUGUGUCUCCUGGUGUUCCCCAUUUGCCCUCUAGAUUUCCCCCCCUCAGACUUUCCUCUCCCAGGUCCUGUGCUCUCUUGGCCCCCUCUUACCCACGCCCCUGUAGUUUCUUUCUGUAGUGUUUUCCUUUAG
rnacentral:lncRNA from 1 species